GCAGUCACCAACAAAUACAUCAACAAUGGCUCAGCUUCACUGCCCUUCUUCCCAAAUUCCAGCAACUCUUCUCUUCUCUCGCGGAACUUUCUCGAAAUCUCCGUUUACACAUUCUAGAAUCUUCUCAAUUACUUCAAUUCCUUCAUCGCAAUUACGCUGCUGUUCUCUCUCACUAUCCAACCGCACUUCCCUUCGAGUAACCGCCGAAACCGUUUCCGUUGGAUCCGAGACUUCAUCCUCUCAAUCCAAAGACGAUAAGAACCUUCUGCUGCAAGUCAAGGAUCUUACUGCUGUUAUUUCUGAAUCUCAGCAGAAAAUUCUUAAUGGAGUCAAUCUCACUGUUUAUGAAGGCGAGAUUCAUGCAAUCAUGGGGAAGAAUGGUUCCGGAAAGAGUACAUUCUCUAAGGUUCUUGUUGGUCAUCCAGAUUAUGAAGUUACUGGAGGAACUGUGAUUUUUAAAGGUCAAAACCUACUAGAAAUGGAACCAGAGGAAAGGGCUCUUUCAGGGAUAUUUAUGAGCUUCCAGUCACCAGUCGCAAUUCCUGGAGUGAGCAAUGCAGAUUUUUUAAAUAUGGCUUAUAAUGCUCGACAAAGAAAACUUGGUCUCCCAGAGCUGGGUCCGAUAGAGUUCUUUAGCCAUGUAUAUAGCAAGCUUGAUCUAGUCAACAUGAAGAUGGAUUUUCUGAAUAGAAAUGUUAAUGAAGGAUUUAGUGGUGGAGAAAGGAAGCGGAAUGAAAUUUUACAACUCGCGGUUUUGGGGGCUGACUUCGCAAUAUUAGAUGAAAUUGAUUCUGGGUUAGAUGUUGAUGCACUUCAAGAUGUAGCAAAAGCAGUUAAUGGUCUGUUAAUGCCAACAAAUUCUGUGCUGAUGAUCACUCAUUAUCAACGUCUUCUAGAAUAUAUAAAGCCCUCUUAUAUUCAUAUUAUGUUCCUUGAAUGAUGAAGUGUGGCUAAUUGAUUAGAUGGUGUGGAAACUGAGAUUUUCCUUUUAGAUGAUGAAAACUUCAUUGAUAAAUGAUCUGCCAAGAAAUGCACCAUAUGCAUUAUUCAUGACCUAAAAAAGCAGCUUACGUUGUGCAAAUUCUGCAUAAAGGCCCUAUAGAUGUUCCAAAACAGCUGAUGAUCAGGCCCAUCUUGAUCCGUCGAUUCUUACGGAAUUUCCUUCAUUAAUUGCCUGAGUUUACAGUACAAGAACUAGAGCUGUCAAUUUGUGUUAAACUGACUGGGCCCAAUCUGAAAAUGACCGAACAUGAAAAUUAAAUGCAUUGAAAUGCUAGUUCGACAUGGCUAAACCUGAAGUCUGACCUGUACCAAAACCCAACCCGACUAAUGAUACAAAUGAACACCACCGAUGAAUUGGUGACUACUCAUCUCUUCACUAGCGAAGUGCCAGAUGAACCCAUGGACGAAAAUGCUCCGAGAUAUGAACAUACACUUUCUUGCUGAUGUUGAGUUUCUCCUACAGAGUGGUUCACUGCAAUGCUUUUACAGACACUAUACACAACAAUGUUUUAUUUAUCAUUUUUAGUACAUUUAUUGGGUUUGAGAUUCUUUAAUGAAUUAAAGGAAACAGAAAAAUAAAUACUAAUGUAGGAAAAUGGAAGAAUUGUGAAGACCGGAGACAUUUCUCUCGCAUCAGUCCUGGAGAAGGAAGGGUACAAGGCAAUAACAACUGCAUAAAUACGAGUUAUUAAGGUUUCUUUGAGAUCAUAUACAUGCUGGGAAUCAGAAUGUUACAAGAAGAAAGAAAGAAACGCAAAGAAUGGAAACUGUUUGUUUUAUCAAGUGCUGAUUGAGUAAUACAUACCCCUUCUUUCGAGAGGAAGGUGCUCUCCCCAAAGAUGCUACGUGUUUAAUAUGAAAUUGCUUGCUUUUCCCCUUCCCCCAUGCUCCAUUAUAUAAUCAGAUUCUUAACAAACUUCUUAAGUGUAUUCCUAACAAGUCCUCCCAGCUAACAAACUCAUAACAACUUUUCUUCUUGAUUUACUAAAUUACCCUCUCCCCAAAACUGAAAUUAUUUCUCAGCUUAGCAA